UAAGAAAACGGCGAAAGCUUGUUCGAAUUUGCGACAUGAAUUGUAAGACUGUGUGUGAAUUGGGUGUGCAGUUGUCGUAUGUUUUCGAAAGGGAAUCCGGUUGAUAUUCCGGAACCGAGUAACGGAGACAAAGAGUAGCGCUUUAAUCUCUCUGUGGGGUU
rnacentral:rRNA from 1 species